rnacentral:rRNA from 1 species
UACGGAGGGGGCAAGCGUUGUUCGGAAUUACUGGGCGUAAAGCGCACGUAGGCGGACAUUUAAGUCAGGGGUGAAAUCCCGGGGCUCAACCCCGGAACUGCCUUUGAUACUGGGUGUCUAGAGUAUGGAAGAGGUGAGUGGAAUUCCGAGUGUAGAGGUGAAAUUCGUAGAUAUUCGGAGGAACACCAGUGGCGAAGGCGGCUCACUGGUCCAUUACUGACGCUGAGGUGCGAAAGCGUGGGGAGCAAACAGGAUUAGAAACCCCAGUAGUCC